rnacentral:tRNA from 1 species
AGGAAUGUAGCUUAGUGGUAGAGUGCUUGCUUAGAAUGUGUGAGACCCUAGGUUUAAUUCCCAGCAUGGCUA